GUAGGUGGCAAGCGUUGUCCGGAAUUAUUGGGCGUAAAGCGCGCGCAGGCGGUUCUUUAAGUCUGAUGUGAAAGCCCACGGGCUCAACCGUGGAGGGUCAUUGGAAACUGGAGAACUUGAGUACAGAGGAGGAAAGCGGAAUUCCACGUGUAGCGGUGAAAUGCGUAGAGAUGUGGAGGAACACCAGUGGCGAAGGCGGCUUUCUGGUCUGUAACUGACGCUGAGGCGCGAAAGCGUGGGGAGCAAACAGGAUUAGAUACCCUGGUAGUCCACGCCGUAAACGAUGAGUGCUAAGUGUUAGGGGGUUUCCGCCCCUUAGUGCUGCAGCUAACGCAUUAAGCACUCCGCCUGGGGAGUACGGCCGCAAGGCUG
rnacentral:rRNA from 1 species